rnacentral:rRNA from 1 species
GCGUAACGCGUGGGAAUCUGCCCAAUGGUCUGGGAUAACCGCGGGAAACUGCGGCUAAUACCGGAUAAGCCCGAGAGGGGAAAGAUUUAUCGCCGAUGGAGGGGCCCGCGUCCGAUUAGGUAGUUGGUGAGGUAACGGCUCACCAAGCCGACGAUCGGUAGCUGGUCUGAGAGGACGAUCAGCCACACUGGGACUGAGAUACGGCCCAGACUCCUACGGGAGGCAGCAGUGGGGAAUAUUGGACAAUGGGGGCAACCCUGAUCCAGCAAUGCCGCGUGAGUGAUGAAGGCCUUAGGGUUGUAA